rnacentral:rRNA from 1 species
AUUGAACGCUGGCGGCAGGCCUAACACAUGCAAGUCGGGCGGCAGCGGGGGGAAGCUUGCUUCCCCGCCGGCGAGCGGCGGACGGGUGAGUAAUGUCUGGGAAACUGCCUGAUGGAGGGGGAUAACUACUGGAAACGGUAGCUAAUACCGCAUAACGUCUUCGGACCAAAGUGGGGGACCUUCGGGCCUCAUGCCAUCAGAUGUGCCCAGAUGGGAUUAGCUUGUUGGUGGGGUAACGGCUCACCAAGGCGACGAUCCCUAGCUGGUCUGAGAGGAUGACCAGCCACACUGGAACUGAGACACGGUCCAGACUCCUACGGGAGGCAGCAGUGGGGAAUAUUGCACAAUGGGCGCAAGCCUGGUGCAGCCAUGCCGCGUGUAUGAAGAAGGCCUUCGGGUUGUAAAGUACUUUCAGCGGGGAGGAAGGUGUUGAGGUUAAUAACCACAGCAAUUGACGUUACCCGCAGAAGAAGCACCGGCUAACUCCGUGCCAGCCGCCGCAGUAAAAC